AGCUUUCUGUGACUAUCGGCAUUUUUCUAGCUUAUCUACUGGGUAUGUUUGUUCAUUGGAGAUUGCUUGCAGUUAUAGGAAUAUUGCCAUGUACCAUCCUCAUUCCCAGUCUUUUCUUCAUUCCAGAGUCGCCAAGGUGGUUGGCAAAAAUGGGCAUGAUGGAAGAUUUUGAAGCUUCUUUACAAGUUUUGAGAGGUUUUGCUACUAA